rnacentral:rRNA from 1 species
GACGAACGCUGGCGGCGUGCCUAAUACAUGCAGGUAGAACGCACAGUUUAUACCGUAGCUUGCUACACCAUAGACUGUGAGUUGCGAACGGGUUAGUAACGCGUAGGUAACCUGCCUGGUAGCGGGGGAUAACUAUUGGAAACGAUAGCUAAUACCGCAUAAUAUUAAUUAUUGCAUGAUAAUUAACUGCAAGGUGCAAUUGCAUCACUACUAGAUGGACCUGCGUUGUAUUAGCUAGUAGGUGAGGUAACGGCUCACCUAGGCGACGAUACAUAGCCGACCUGAGAGGGUGGUCGGCCACACUGGGAGGGAGACACGGCCCAGACUCCUACGGGAAGCAGCAGUAGGGAAACGUCGGCAAGGGACGAAAGUCUGACCGAGCAACGCCGCGUGAGUGAAGAAGGUGUUCGGAUCGUAAAGCUCUGUUGUAAGAGAAGAACGGGUGUGAGAGUGGAAAGUUCACACAGUGACGGUAUCGUACCAGAAAGCGACGGCUAACUACGUG